GUUAAGUUACAAUAGCGAUAACGCAUAACGUAACGUAGGUUAAAUAAUUUAUUAUUAUUUAAAUAAUUUAUUAUUAUUUAAAUAAUUUAUAGAUAUAUAACGUUCAAAAUAAAUCAGAAAUUUUUAAUUUUUAAUAAUUUCAGCAAUUUAUAGUAGAUUCCGUAAUAUAAUAUUGUUUUUUUCUGUUGUAAUUCUUUACCAGGAUCUGAUUAAUUAUUAUGUAUAUUGAGAAACUAUAGCUGAAUCUGCAAUUCUUCACUGCAAAUAGCCAGAAUCAAACUCGAGACCUCUCUUGGACUGGGUCAAAGGAAUUAGUACUCUCUUGGACUUAAGAGAGGCCUAGACACAAAGAUAGCAACAGAAGAUGAUAUCGUGGAGGGUUUCUUCAGAAAAUAGCAAAAAAAGGAGGAAAAAAAAGAAAAUCCAGGAAAAAAAAA